rnacentral:rRNA from 1 species
GAUCAUGGCUCAGGAUGAACGCUAGCGACAGGCUUAACACAUGCAAGUCGAGGGGCAGCACGGGAGUAGCAAUACUUGGUGGCGACCGGCGCACGGGUGAGUAACGCGUAUGCAACCUACCUAUCAGAGGGGAAUAACCCGGCGAAAGUCGGACUAAUACCGCAUAAAACAGGGGCACCGCAUGGUGAUAUUUGUUAAAGAAAUUCGCUGAUAGAUGGGCAUGCGUUCCAUUAGGUAGUUGGUGAGGUAACGGCUCACCAAGCCGACGAUGGAUAGGGGAACUGAGAGGUUGGUCCCCCACACUGGUACUGAGACACGGACCAGACUCCUACGGGAGGCAGCAGUGAGGAAUAUUGGUCAAUGGGCGGGAGCCUGAACCAGCCAAGUCGCCGUGAAGGAAGAAGGAUCUAUGGUUCGUAAACUUCUUUUGCAGGGGAAUAAAGUGCAGGACGUGUCCUGUUUUGUAUGUACCCUGAGAAUAAGGAUCGGCUAACUCCGUGCCAGCCGCCGC